rnacentral:rRNA from 1 species
AACGAACGCUGGCGGCAUGCCUAACACAUGCAAGUCGAACGAGACCUUCGGGUCUAGUGGCGCACGGGUGCGUAACGCGUGGGAACCUGCCCUUAGGUUCGGAAUAACUCCCCGAAAGGGGUGCUAAUACCGGAUAAUGUCUUCGGACCAAAGAUUUAUCGCCUUUGGAUGGGCCCGCGUUGGAUUAGCUAGUUGGUAGGGUAAAAGCCUACCAAGGCGACGAUCCUUAGCUGGUCUGAGAGGAUGAUCAGCCACACUGGGACUGAGACACGGCCCAGACUCCUACGGGAGGCAGCAGUGGGGAAUAUUGGAAAAUGGGCGAAAGCCUGAUCCAGCAAUGCCGCGUGAGUGAUGAAGGCCUUAGGGUUGUAAAGCUCUUUUACCCGGGAUGAUAAUGACAGUACCGGGAGAAUAAGCUCCGGCUAACUCCGUG